rnacentral:rRNA from 1 species
UACAGAGGGUGCGAGCGUUGUCCGGAAUCACUGGGCGUAAAGGCGCGUAGGUGGCGGCCCAAGUCCAUGGUGAAAGCUCGAUGCUCAACAUCGAGUCGGCCACGGAUACUGGGUUGCUCGAGCACUGUAGGGGCAGAUGGAAUUCCGGGUGUAGUGGUGGAAUGCGUAGAGAUCCGGAGGAACACCAGCGGCGAAGGCGGCAUCCUGGACCUGGUCCUGACACUCGAGGAGCGAAAGCGUGGGGAGCGAGUACCGGAU